UUUCCCGGUUGAUCCCGCCGGGACUGACUGCUAUCGGAUUGAUACUAAGCCAUGCGAGUCAUUGUAGUAAUACAAGGCAGACGGCUCAGUAACGCGUAGUCAACCUACCCUAUGGACGGGGAUAACCUCGGGAAACUGAGAAUAAUACCCGAUAGAACAUUAUACCUGGAAUGGUUUAUGUUUCAAAUAAUUUAUUGCCGUAGGAUGGGACUGCGGCCUAUCAGUUUGUUGGUGAGGUAGUGGCCCACCAAGACUAUUACAGGUACGGGCUCUGAGAGGAGUAGCCCGGAGAUGGGUACUGAGACACGGACCCAGGCCCUAUGGGGCGCAGCAGGCGAGAAAACUUUGCAAUGUGCGAAAGCACGACAAGGUUAAUCCGAGUGGUUUCUGCUAAAGGAACCUUUUGUCAGUCCUAGAAACACUGGUGAAUAAGGGGUGGGCAAGUUCUGGUGUCAGCCGCCGCGGUAAAACCAGCACCUCAAGUGGUCAGGAUGAUUAUUGGGCCUAAAGCAUCCGUAGCCUGCUUUGUUAGUUUUCGGUUAAAUCCAUACGCUUAACGUAUGGGCUGCCGGGAAUACUGCAAAGCUAGGGAGUGGGAGAGGUAGACGGUACUCGGUAGGAAGGGGUAAAAUCCUUUGAUCUAUUGAUGACCACCUGUGGCGAAGGCGGUCUACCAGAACACGUCCGACGGUGAGGGAUGAAAGCUGGGGGAGCAAACCGGAUUAGAUACCCGGGUAGUCCCAGCUGUAAACUAUGCAAACUCGGUGAUGCAUUGGCUUGAUGCCAAUGCAGUGCCGCAGGGAAGCCGUUAAGUUUGCCGCCUGGGAAGUACGUACGCAAGUAUGAAACUUAAAGGAAUUGGCGGGGGAGCACCACAAGGGGUGAAGCCUGCGGUUCAAUUGGAUUCAACGCCGGA
rnacentral:rRNA from 1 species